UACGAAGGGGGCUAGCGUUGCUCGGAAUCACUGGGCGUAAAGCGCACGUAGGCGGAUUGCUAAGUCAGGGGUGAAAUCCUGGAGCUCAACUCCAGAACUGCCUUUGAUACUGGCGAUCUCGAGUCCGGGAGAGGUGAGUGGAACUGCGAGUGUAGAGGUGAAAUUCGUAGAUAUUCGCAAGAACACCAGUGGCGAAGGCGGCUCACUGGCCCGGUAUGACGCUGAGGUGCGAAAAGCGUGGGGAG
rnacentral:rRNA from 1 species